UACGUAGGGUGCAAGCGUUAAUCGGAAUUACUGGGCGUAAAGCGUGCGCAGGCGGUUAUGUAAGACAGGUGUGAAAUCCCCGGGCUUAACCUGGGAACUGCAUUUGUGACUGCAUAGCUAGAGUACGGUAGAGGGGGAUGGAAUUCCGCGUGUAGCAGUGAAAUGCGUAGAUAUGCGGAGGAACACCGAUGGCGAAGGCAAUCCCCUGGACCUGUACUGACGCUUAUGCACGAAAGCGUGGGGAGCAAACAGG
rnacentral:rRNA from 1 species